rnacentral:rRNA from 1 species
GGAUUAGAUACCCUGGUAGUCCACGCCGUAAACGAUGGAUACUUGUUGUUGGAGGUAUUGACCCCUUCAGUGACGAAGCUAACGCGUUAAGUAUCCCGCCUGGGAAGUACGGUCGCAAGAUUAAAACUCAAAGAAAUUGACGGGGGCCCGCACAAGCGGUGGAGUAUGUGGUUUAAUUCGAUGCAACGCGAAAAACCUUACCCGGGUUUGACAUAGGUUGGAAUGUGGCAGAGAUGCCGCAGCCCGCAAGGGCCGAUCUACAGGUGCUGCAUGGCUGUCGUCAGCUCGUGCCG